rnacentral:tRNA from 1 species
GCGCCAGUGGUGUAAUGGCGUAGAGCAUUCUUGCCCUUUCAGCAGGUAGUGCUGGUUCGAGUCCCACCUGGCGCC